rnacentral:rRNA from 1 species
GACGAACGCUGGCGGCGUGCCUGACACAUGCAAGUCGGACGGUUCUUGUAUCUUCAAGCUUGCUUGCAGGUGCAAGGAUAGUGGCGGACGGGUGAGUAACGCGUGAACAUCUACCCAUUGGAGGGGGACAACCCGUCGAAAGGCGGGCUAAUACCGCGUAAGCCGCGAGGUGAGAGGCUGCCUAUUGGUGGCCGCCGAUGGAUGGGUUCGCGUCCUAUCAGCUGGUUGGUGGGGUAACGGCCUACCAAGGCGAAGACGGGUAGCCGGUCUGAGAGGAUGGCCGGCCACACUGGAACUGAGACACGGACCAGACUCCUACGGGAGGCAGCAGUGAGGAAUAUUGGUCAAUGGGCGCAAGCCUGAACCAGCCAUCCCGCGUGAAGGAAGAAUGCGCUACGCGUUGUAAACUUCUUUUCCAGGGGGAGAAUAAUCCUGUCGUGACAGGACUUGACGGUACUCUGGGAAUAAGCAUCGGCUAACUCCGUGCCAGCAGCCGAC